UGAAUAACAAUAUUGUAAUAUUUUGUGUAAAUGAGCCACCACUCUGUUUUCUAAUGAUUCUUAUUUUCUAAUUUAGAAUUGCCACCAUAUCUACGAAUUCUCACUCUCUGGUGUAGAAUGAGAACAUUUUAUGGGUUUCUGUAAGUCUGUUUAAAACAGAAGGAAAUGUAUAAUAGACUUUUUCCUUGAACACUCUCCUUCUGGGCAGGAAGUGGAUAAUGUCAACCAAGAAAGGGAUCCUUGGAGGGAGGAAAACCUGCCAGUGUGACAAACAUCUCCCUCCCGCCUUGCUGUGCUUUCUUCUUUAAUAUUUCUUACUUAAAACUCAACUGAAGAUCAGCAGCCCUUUGAUAUCAGGGAGAAAGGGGUCAGACCACGGCUUAAAGUGAUUAGGGGGGACAAGGCAGCCUAAGCCCAUCUUACUGUGAUAAGAACUUCUGGAGUG
rnacentral:lncRNA from 1 species